GAUGAAGAACGUAGCGAAAUGCGAUACUUGGUGUGAAUUGCAGAAUCCCGUGAACCAUCGAGUCUUUGAACGCAAGUUGCGCCCGAAGCCUCGGCUAAGGGCACGUCUGCCUGGGCGUCACGCAUCUCGUCUCCCCCAAACCGCCAAGGCGGAGGGGAAGGAAGAUGGCUUCCCGUGCCUCACCCGGCGCGGUUGGCCUAAAUUUGGAGCCCGCGGCACUUAGCUCUCGCGGCGAUAGGUGGUGAACAAGGCCUUGGCCGUGCAAACAACCCGCUGCGAAGCUCUAUGUCACGUGCGCUCGUCGGACCCUUUGAAGUUGCCUUCGGUGACUUAAAACCUUUGCGACCCCAGGUCAGGCGGGGCUACCCGCUGAAUUUAAGCAUAUCAAUAAGCGGAGGA
rnacentral:misc_RNA from 1 species